UUAUUACUUUGACUACUUUGAUUUAUCUACUUAUUUUUUUAAACAAAAAAUAACAUUCAUCUCUUUGUCGCAGGAAUCUAUUACUAUCGGUUUAGGGUUUAGGCAUCGCCAUCGAAGGCGGUGGAGGAAGAGGGAAAGGGAAAGGGUGAGAAGGGCGGGGAAGGGCGAGAGAGGGCGAGAGAGGCAUCGUCGUUGGAGACGGUGGAGAAGGGUCGGAGAGGGAAAAAAAAAGAGUCGCAGCGCGGCCUCGGUGGGGUCGAAGGCGAGGAAGGCGGGGGGUGCGCGAACGAGGGCGAAUGCAUGAGGGUGAGAGGCGCUGUGGGUCGUUUCCGCCUCCGCCUCCACCUCCGCUGCCUACUUUGGUGAGAUAAAAAAAUGAAUGAGAGGAAAAAAAAAAAAAGGAGAGAGAAAAAGUAAUAAGGGUAUUUUGGUCAGUUUGCUGAAAAUUCGAACCGAAUCUGCAAAAUCGAAAAAGACGGUCCACUUUUACAAAAGCUCAAAAUUUAUAGAUUAUUUAUACAAAUUGGCCAAAAAAGAAAGUUGAAAUUAAUUUUUUGUCGAGUUUGAGCUUUACAGUGCGCGCUCGAAUUAGCCCGGCUCGAAAAGAUCAAAAAUAUAUAUGCAUUAAAAAUAUUUAUAAAAUAUAUAUAUAUAUAUAUAGAGAGAGAGAGAGAGAGAGAGAGAGAGAGAGAGAGAGAGUUUUGAUAGAAUACUAUCGGUAGUAAACGGCUCGGUUUACUACCGAUUUGUUUUCGAUUAUAGAGCUUCCAAAUUGAUGAUCGACACCGUUAAACAUGAUCUACACAUUUUCGAUAUUGUUCUCUUGUUCAUCAAGUGAACAGAAAAAUGAAUGGCUGGAAAUGAAUAUCCUUCAAAAAGUGAUGAUACAAUUUUUAUAUUUGAGAUCUAGAGUCUAGAUUUUAUUUUAAAUAGUUUAAAGA
rnacentral:lncRNA from 1 species